GCAAGUCGAACGCUUCUUUCCUCCCGAGUGCUUGCACUCAACUGGAAAGAGGAGUGGCGGACGGGUGAGUAACACGUGGGUAACCUACCCAUCAGAGGGGGAUAACACUUGGAAACAGGUGCUAAUACCGCAUAACAGUUUAUGCCGCAUGGCAUAAGAGUGAAAGGCGCUUUCGGGUGUCGCUGAUGGAUGGACCCGCGGUGCAUUAGCCAGUUGGUGAGGUAACGGCUCACCAAGGCCACGAUGCAUAGCCGACCUGAGAGGGUGAUCGGCCACACUGGGACUGAGACACGGCCCAGACUCCUACGGGAGGCAGCAGUAGGGAAUCUUCGGCAAUGGACGAAAGUCUGACCGAGCAACGCCGCGUGAGUGAAGAAGGUUUUCGGAUCGUAAAACUCUGUUGUUAGAGAAGAACAAGGACGUUAGUAACUGAACGUCCCCUGACGGUAUCUAACCAGAAAGCCACGGCUAACUACGUGCCAGCAGCCGCGGUAAUACGUAGGUGGCAAGCGUUGUCCGGAUUUAUUGGGCGUAAAGCGAGCGCAGGCGGUUUCUUAAGUCUGAUGUGAAAGCCCCCGGCUCAACCGGGGAGGGUCAUUGGAAACUGGGAGACUUGAGUGCAGAAGAGGAGAGUGGAAUUCCAUGUGUAGCGGUGAAAUGCGUAGAUAUAUGGAGGAACACCAGUGGCGAAGGCGGCUCUCUGGUCUGUAACUGACGCUGAGGCUCGAAAGCGU
rnacentral:rRNA from 1 species